UCCCUCUUAGGGUCAUACCUGAAGAGUUUCCAGUACUCUACCAGACUCAACUACGGGAGGGAAGAUCAAGCAGAGGCCUGUCCAUUCCAUUCCUAGCUUGGGUAGUGGCUAGCGAGUGGAAGGCAAUCUGCUACAAGU